AAUUUCUUGAUGAAAUCAUUUCGCUGCGAACUUUAACGUUCGCCUGUGGCCAUUUCUCAACUCUUCUCCAGCUGAAAAU
ensembl:snoRNA snoRNA:Me28S-A1705